CUACGGGGGGCAGCAGGCGAGAAAACUUUGCAAUGUGCGAAAGCACGACAAGGUUAAUCCGAGUGGUUUGUGCUAAACGAACCUUUUGACAGUCCUAGAAACACUGUUGAAUAAGGGGUGGGCAAGUUCUGGUGUCAGCGGCCGCGGUAAAACCAGCACCUCAAGUGGUCAGGAUGAUUAUUGGGCCUAAAGCAUCCGUAGCCGGCUCUGUAAGUUUUCGGUUAAAUCUGUCCGCUCAACGUACAGGCUGCCGGGAAUACUGCAGAGCUAGGGAGUGGGAGAGGUAGACGGUACUCGGUAGGAAGGGGUAAAAUCCUUUGAUCUAUUGAUGACCACCUGUGGCGAAGGCGGUCUACCAGAACACGUCCGACGGUGAGGGAUGAAAGCUGGGGGAGCAAACCGGAUUAGAUACCCCGGUAGUC
rnacentral:rRNA from 1 species